rnacentral:tmRNA from 1 species
GGGGGUGAUUGGUUUCGACAGUACUAUUAUAGUUUGGUGAGAAGCGAGCCGAGAAUGAGUGGUCAUCUCGUAAAUGUCCUGCUCAAGCUUUAAUUGCAAAUAAAAAUGUAGCUAGCCAAAUGGCUCGAGUAGUCUAGGUUCGGGUGGUGCAUAUACGUUUCCGGUGUGCAUUACUUGUCAUUUAAGGAAACUUGCUGUAACGGCGCGUUAACAGCCGUUGUGGGACUUUUGUUAACAGGGUUGGUUAGAGUAAAGUUUACCGAAACUCUAUAACCUCAAAACGCUACGGUAAACUGCGCUCGGAGAAUGCUCUAAACGGUAGUUUUGGACGUGGGUUCAAUUCCCGCCACCUCCACGC